rnacentral:rRNA from 1 species
UACGUAGGGUGCGAGCGUUAAUCGGAAUUACUGGGCGUAAAGCGUGCGCAGGCGGUUUUGUAAGCCAGAUGUGAAAGCCCCGGGCUCAACCUGGGAAUAGCAUUUGGGACUGUUGGGCUAGAGAUCGGGAGAGGAGAGUGGAAUUCCCAGUGUAGAGGUGAAAUUCGUAGAUAUUGGGAAGAACACCCGUGGCGAAGGCGGCUCUCUGGGACGGUACUGACGCUGAGACGCGAAAAGCGUGGGGGAGCGAACAGG